rnacentral:snRNA from 1 species
GGAUGUGAGGGUGAUUUCACUAUGACAUCUGUUACUCCGUUGAUCGCCAGGGUUGAUUCGACUGAUCUGGCUGGCCAGGCAGGUGUCCCUGUCCUCCCUCAACACUCCAGUCCACAUGUGUCCCUCCUGGAGCUGCACACUUGGUUGAAGAAAACGACCUUCCUCGAUAGAGGAGGACUGGUCUUCAGUCAAGCAUGUAUGAAUAGCUGCACUCCUCUGCUAGAACCUUGAAACAAGCUCUCAAGAAAAGUAAAGGAAUGAAGAAAAAAAAAUCAGGGUUCUGGUCGAAGUUCUGGCAUAUUGGACAAGUCAUAUGCUCCUCUUU